ensembl:lncRNA
CCCAAGGAGAACUGCCAACAUGGAAGGGUUACAUUCAAGUGUAUCAUUAGGUCAUGGUGCUUGGGAACUAGAAAUUUUGGCAUGCUGAACAAAGAGAUUAAAAAAUUCAGUUUUCUAUGUUUUUGGAACAUGGAAGUCUGAGAUCAGGGUCCCUGCAUGAUCUUGGAUGGCCUCAGCCUACAGUAGCUUGAAGCAGGGCUUCAGUUCCUGGACAGAGAUUAAGGUCUGGUCACAGGGGUAAGAGCAUCAAAUCCUAGCUACUACACCAGUGGGUGAAUGUCAGAGCAGUGAAGAUCUUCAGAGAAGGGAUGGCACUUGGAAAGUCAUGAAGAGUGAAUAAAAAUUCAGCAAGAGCAAAAGGGGAUAGAAAUUAUAGGCAGAAAGUACAGGCUAAGCAAAGAAGGAUUGACUGCAAAGAGGAGAGAGAUCCUAAAGAGAGC